rnacentral:misc_RNA from 1 species
AAGAUGUCUGCUUCCAUGAUGAUUGCUCGGCACGGACGAAGGUUUUUACCUUCUGUUACACAAAUACAAAGCCGGUGUAUAAACUACACAAUGUCAGGAUUUCAUCUUCUAUUACCAGAUGUCUCAGAUGAUACACCUGAAACUAACCCGUUAUUACGUUACCAUGACAUGCCUGAUUUUAAUAUACCACCAGACAAAGUUAUUACUGGGACAGCAAAACUUUCACAGGACUAUGAAGUUGAACUUCUUCAACAUUUAAAACAUCUGCAAGACUCUACAGAACCACCUACAUUUGAAUCUGUGAUAGAUCCCCUGGAGAAUGCCCGUGUGCCACUGUAUUACAGCCUUUACACAGGCAGACAACUAGGCUCAGGGAAAGCUGGAAGAUACUUUGAUGCAUAUAAGAAGACUAUAGACAUAGCAGGACAGGUAGAAUCAGAGAGAUGGUAUGGGAAUAGUCUCUAUAAGGCAUUGUUGAGUGUAAGAAACAGUGGAAAUCUGACAGAAGUUCAGUCCCGUUUAGUGGACCUUUACCUCUGUGAAUUCAUACGGAAUGGGGCUGAAAUGAAAGAAUCACAAAAGAAGGAGCUGUCUGUUGUUAUACAGAUGCCCAGAAGAUUGUUCCAUAUACACUUCUAAAUGUGAUUCAGAUCCCAGAAGUGUUCAAAUCCCUCAGCAGCCACCACUCGUCAGGUGUUGAGAUCCCAGACGAGCAGUUGAAUUCAAUGAUAGGAGCUCAAGAACACAUGCAGGCAAUUGAUGUUCUGAAUGAAGCUUUUAAAAGUGCCCUGGAUCUAGAGUUUUACCUGGAAGAAACAAGAGGAACAUUUAUUAAGACGCCAGAGUCCACACCUGACCAAUACAACAGGCUAUAUAAAGAGUUCAUCCCAAUGCCUCUCCAUCCAAAAGACGAGAGAUUUUGUACAUUUCACGACAUUUUCAUAGGAGGGAGAAGCUGUUUAUACUAUGCAGAAAUCUGGAGCAAGAUGGUAGCAGCUGAUGCAGCCUCGGCUUUCAAAGAGGUUCUUCAUGAUGAACAAAAGCUAGCUCUUGUUGGAAAACGUUUCAAGGACACCUACUUGACAAUGGGAGCCGCUGUUGAUCCUAAGACUGUGUUUAGAACUUUCAUGGGAAGAGACCCUACCCCAGAACCAUUUCUGGCAAAAUUCGACAAUAGGAAAGCUAUUGCAACUGAAGAAUGACAAGUGGUGAAUUUCAAAUGUUAGUUUUUGUGAUUCAACUGCAAGGAUAAAGAAUUGUUUGGUCUGGCCCUCUGGUACCAUGAAUUGUAUAUAAGUGUAAGAUUGUUCUGUACAAUUCUAAUGGAAUGGUUUUGUUGUGAAAAAGAAUUUAAAACUGAGACAUUAUUGUAACAUUAUUUAUUGAAGAUAAAUAAAAGUAGUACAUGCAUCUGUAUGUCAAUAACAG